UUGAAGUCUCUCAUGCAGAGGUGUCAAGUAAUUGUAGUACAAAUACUUUGUUACUUUACUUAAGUAGAACUUUCGGGUAUCUAUACUUUACUGAGGUAAUUCUUUUGCAGCAGACUUUUUACUUCUACUUCUUACGUUUUCAAGCA